AUGAAGCUCUUUGUCGAGACCUUCAUCGGCACGAUGCUCAGCAUCAAUGUCGACCUAUCCGACACCAUCAACGUUGUCAAGGCCAAGAUCCAGGGUCGCAUCAUUAAGACACAUCAUAACCAAUGUACAUCUGUGAUGACCAUUGAAACAAGCACCAGGAUUUCUCAGUCUCCUGCAACAUACAUGAAGCUCUUUGUCCAAACCCUCGCCGGCAAGACGAUCACCGUCAAGGUCGACCCGUCGGACACCAUCAACGUUGUCAAGGCCAAGAUUCAGGACCAGCAGUGCCUUACCGUUGGCGAGAAGGCGCUAGAGGACAGACGCACUGUGGCCGAUUACAGCAUCAAGGAUGAAUCCACUCUUCACAUUGAUCUGCGCUACCAGAGAAAGCGGAAGCAGCCAACUGUCAUGCAUGGUGAGCAGCCCAAAUCUGCAAAAAAGAAGAGAAUAGAUUAUCAAAUCUUUCUCAAAGGGCUUGUAGACAAAACCACCGCCCUUAAGGUUGCCUACUCGGAUACCGUCAGAAGUGUCAAGGAGAUGAUCCGGGACCGGCAGGACAUUCCCGUGGACGAGCAGAUGCUGAUCUAUGCAGGGAAACAGCUUGAAGAUGGUCGCACCAUGGAUGACUAUGGCAUAAAGAAGGAAUCUACACUUCACCUCAUGCUCCGCCUCCGAUCAUGCGGUCCUAAUUGCCCAAGACCCUGUCAAAGUGAGCCAGGCGAAGAUCAGGAUUCCCAUGCAGGUUCCUCCACUGUUAUCACUGCUGCUUCUCCCAAUGUCAAGCAACGUAAAAGAAAGAUUCAGACUCCUAUUGAUGUUGCCAACCUUAGGAGGAGCCCAAGAACCAACAAGUAUGACGGCUUUAAGGUGAACCUUCAAUCUAAUAGCAGAAUCCAGAAGUCCAAGGUAAAGAAGAGAUCCACUCCCUUAGCAACUACCGCUACCAAGAGCGAGGCCAAGGAAAUCCCUCCCCCAACUCCUAUCCCAAUAUUUCAACACAUUGGCAGUGUAUUGUCUGUGAUCAGGAGUGUAUGGGAUAUCAGCUUCGGAGCACUCCACAAACAAGUUGUUUGCUAA
rnacentral:rRNA from 1 species